rnacentral:rRNA from 1 species
UACGGGGGGGGCAAGCGUUGUUCGGAAUUACUGGGCGUAAAGGGCUCGUAGGCGGCCAACUAAGUCGGACGUGAAAUCCCCAGGCUUAACCUGGGAACUGCGUCUGAUACUGGAUGGCUUGAAUUCGGGAGAGGGAUGCAGAAUUCCAGGUGUAGCGGUGAAAUGCGUAGAUAUCUGGAGGAAUACCGGUGGCGAAGGCGGCAUCCUGGACCGACAUUGACGCUGAGGAGCGAAAGCUAGGGGAGCAAACGGG